GACGAACGCUGGCGGCGUGCUUAAUACAUGCAAGUCGAACGGAAAGGCCCUGCUUUUGUUGGGUUCUCGUUUGGCGAACGGGUGAGUAACACGUGAGUAACCUGCCCUUGACUUUGGGAUAACUUCAGGGAACUGGGGCUCAUACCGGGUAGGAUCUCCUGCUGCAUGUUGUGGGAUGGAAAGUUUCGGCGGUUGUGGCUGGACUCGCGGCUUAUCAGCUUGUUUGUGUGGUAGUGGCUUACCAAGGCUUUGACGGGUAGCCGGCCUGAGAGGGUGAACGGCGACAAUAGGACUGCGAUAGGGACCAGAAUGCAACGGGCGGCAGCAGUGGGGAGUCUUGCAGAGUGGGCGGAAGCCUGAUGUGAAGACCCCGCGUGCGUGAUGCCGGCUUUCGGGUUGUAAACAGAUUUGUAAGGUGACGAACAGUGCGUGACGGUAAUGGGUAAGGAAGCACCGGCUAACUACGUG
rnacentral:rRNA from 1 species